rnacentral:lncRNA from 1 species
CAAGAGUAUGAGAAUGACAUUGGUAUUCCCUCCAUUCCAAAGAAGAGGUCGAUUAGCCAAUUUUGAAGUCCAUGAGGUAGUUUACUUCCCAUUGUGAUAGAAAGAAAUUUCUGCAUAAAAAAUAUGUAACUAAAAAAUGUUGUUUAUUCAUUAAACUAUAAAUUACCAAUAUUUCAUUGUCAAAUAUCUCAUAAGCCGAUGAGUACAAAAAAAUCUAAAUAAGAAUCAUGUUACAAAAUUACCAUGGCUCCACUAUAUUCAGUCAUACCUUAUUAGGGAUUCCAGAGUUCAUAGUUUUCGAUUUGGCAUGUGAUGCCAUGCCAGUCAUCAACUAAAUAUUGGGGCUAUUUUAUAGUUCAUUAGAUUAACCAUGCCUACCAUAGAGGAAUGAAAAAAUUAUAUUUCUAAAUACAAUAAGAGCAGAAUUGAAAAAGGAACAAUAAUUGUAAAGGAGUCCAAAUGUGUGUGAAAGCCUUUUACUAUCUCCAUUAUCAGCAGUGGUGGAUCUACCUAUUAAAAAUGGGUGCUCGAGCACCCAUUAACCUCGACGCAGAGUAUGCAUAGUUGUAUAGAAAAUUUGAGAAAACGUAUAAAAAUUUACAAAAGCACCCAUUAAUUUUAUGUACAAAAAAAAUUCAGCACCCACAAACUUGAAUUCUUAGAUCCGCCACUGAUUAUCAGCCUUGAAAAUUAAUUCCAUUUUAUAUGUGCCUAGCUCCAAAUUAGUAGCCUGUUACUUUCUCUACUGAACAAAUUAUUUAAUAAUGAAAGAAAUGAAAAUCAAUGAGUGAAGGAAGAAAGAACCGGAAAAGUUUAUUGCUUUUCUAUAUUCUUAUUAAAUAUCUGUUCAUGAUCUAAAGAAGCAAGGAGUAAAAGGAAGAAAGAAUUAAAAAAUUCGUUGCUCUUUCUAGAAAUUUAAUUAAUGUUUUAGAAUUACAAAUCAUUGAACUUACCUCUUGGAGAAUUGUUAAGUGGUAUGCGAAGAAAUGAGAAAGAAUUGGAGGUUUAUACAUGUGAAAUUGAUCCAAAAAAUUUUGUUACUGGGACUCCGGCGAAGAAGGAUUAAUGGAUUGGAAGUUGAGAUCAUGGGACAACAUGGGUUGUUUGAAGCGCAACUCUUUAGGGUUUAGAAAUUUA